GCAAAGUUGGAGAAGGCAUCCUUGUAGCCAAUGAGUAACUGCCAGCAUAAUUUAACCUUAUUAAAAGACCCCUGCUUCCUUUGUUCGGGGCUCUCGGUAUCUGCCACUGCGUUGGUAGGUGCUGUGAACCCGGACUCGAGUCUGAAAUAAACUCCCUUUUGUGUUUGCAUCAGCUGUCUUUGGGUUCUUGGAGGCUAUGCUCGCCGAGUCUGCUGACCUUGGGCACAACAGAAAGCAAGCAAACCACGUGACUGGGUUUGUGUUUUAGGCCGAUCCCUCUGGUCGCAGAGUGAAAAAUAGCCAGGAGCUGCCCACCCACUCCCUCCACGCCAAGGUUCGCUUUAACAACAAAAAGAACAUCUUUGACCGCAGCUCAAGGGGAAGGAGGAGCAGACCCUCUUGAACCUAAGGUUCCCUGCCCCACCCUAAGGAAAGGUGAAGCUGAGCAGAGAGAAGUGAGGGAGGACGGGGAGGAAACAGAUGGAAGGAGAAGAGAAAAGCUGGAGGAGACACAUGGUGCAGAGAGACAAGUGAAGCUGUGCUUGCUUCUCAGCCUGGGACUUGUGCCAGGGACUUGGGAGACAUGGAAGACACUUGAAAGAGACAGAGACGUGGGUGAGAGACCCAUGCGGAAGCUGACAAUGGCAGCCUUUAUCUUGACUUGUGUUUUGAUUUUGCGCUUUUCCUUCCAGAUGUGCCUGGCCCCUGCCACCCCCUUCCUAGGGGUCCCCACCCAAAGGUGCCUUAGACAUGUGACA